rnacentral:rRNA from 1 species
AAUGAACGCUGGCGGCGUGCAUAACACAUUCAAGUCGAACGGGGCAGCAAUGCCUAGUGGCGGACGGGUGAGUAACGCGUGAGCAACCUGCCUGUGUGAGGGGGACAACAGCCGGAAACAGCUGCUAAUACCGCAUGAAGUAUUCGAAUCGCAUGGUUUGGAUACCAAAGAUUUAUCGCACACAGAUGGGCUCGCGUCCGAUUAGCUAGAUGGUGAGGUAACGGCUCACCAUGGCGACGAUCGGUAGCCGGACUGAGAGGUUGAACGGCCACAUUGGAACUGAGAUACGGUCCAGACUCCUACGGGAGGCAGCAGUGGGGAAUAUUGGGCAAUGGGCGAAAGCCUGACCCAGCGACGCCGCGUGAAGGAAGACGGUCUUCGGAUUGUAAACUUCAAACAACAGGGAAGAAACAAAUGACUGUACCUGUUAGGAAGCCACGGCUAACUACGUGCCAGCCGCCGCGGUAAAAC